rnacentral:rRNA from 1 species
AACGAACGCUGCGGCAGGCUUAACACAUGCAAGUCGAGCGCCCCGCAAGGGGAGCGGCAGACGGGUGAGUAACGCGUGGGAAUCUACCCAUCUCUACGGAAUAACGCAUGGAAACGUGUGCUAAUACCGUAUACGUCCUUCGGGAGAAAGAUUUAUCGGAGAUGGAUGAGCCCGCGUUGGAUUAGCUAGAUGGUGGGGUAAAGGCCUACCAAGGCGACGAUCCAUAGCUGGUCUGAGAGGAUGGUCAGCCACACUGGGACUGAGACACGGCCCAGACUCCUACGGGAGGCAGCAGUGGGGAAUAUUGGACAAUGGGCGCAAGCCUGAUCCAGCCAUGCCGCGUGAGUGAUGAAGGCCCUAGGGUUGUAAAGCUCUGUCACCGGUGAAGAUAAUGACGGUAACCGGAGGAGAAGCCCCGGCUAACUUCGUGCCAGCCGCCGCAGUAAGAC